UACGUAGGGGGCAAGCGUUAUCCGGAUUUACUGGGUGUAAAGGGAGCGUAGACGGCGGUGCAAGCCAGAUGUGAAAUCCCGCGGCUUAACCGCGGAACUGCAUCUAAAACUGGUAAGCUGGAGUGCAGGAGAGGUGAGUGGAAUUCCUAGUGUAGCGGUGGAAUGCGUAGAUAUUAGGAGGAACACCAGAGGCGAAGGCGACUCACUGGACUGUAACUGACGCUGAGGCUCGAAAGCGUGGGGAGCAAACAGG
rnacentral:rRNA from 1 species